rnacentral:rRNA from 1 species
CGAUGUGGGAAGGCCCAGACAGCCAGGAUGUUGGCUUAGAAGCAGCCAUCAUUUAAAGAAAGCGUAAUAGCUCACUGGUCGAGUCGGCCUGCGCGGAAGAUGUAACGGGGCUAAACCAUGCACCGAAGCUGCGGCAGCGACACUGUGUGUUGUUGGGUAGGGGAGCGUUCUGUAAGCCUGUGAAGGUGUGUCGUGAGGCAUGCUGGAGGUAUCAGAAGUGCGAAUGCUGACAUAAGUAACGAUAAAGCGGGUGAAAAGCCCGCUCGCCGGAAGACCAAGGGUUCCUGUCCAACGUUAAUCGGGGCAGGGUGAGUCGACCCCUAAGGCGAGGCCGAAAGGCGUAGUCGAUGGGAAACGGGUUAAUAUUCCCGUACUUGGUGUUACUGCGAAGGGGGGACGGAGAAGGCUAUGUUGGCCGGGCGACGGUUGUCCCGGUUUAAGCGUGUAGGUGUGUGUUCCAGGUAAAUCCGGUUCACUUUAACACUGAGGCGUGACGACGAGGCACUACGGUGCUGAAGCAACAAAUGCCCUGCUUCCAGGAAAAGCCUCUAAGCAUCAGGUAACAUCAAAUCGUACCCCAAACCGACACAGGUGGUCAGGUAGAGAAUACCAAGGCGCUUGAGAGAACUCGGGUGAAGGAACUAGGCAAAAUGGUGCCGUAACUUCGGGAGAAGGCACGCUGACACGUAGGUGAAGUGAUUUACUCAUGGAGCUGAAGUCAGUCGAAGAUACCAGCUGGCUGCAACUGUUUAUUAAAAACACAGCACUGUGCAAACACGAAAGUGGACGUAUACGGUGUGACGCCUGCCCGGUGCCGGAAGGUUAAUUGAUGGGGUCAGCGCAAGCGAAGCUCCUGAUCGAAGCCCCGGUAAACGGCGGCCGUAACUAUAACGGUCCUAAGGUAGCGAAAUUCCUUGUCGGGUAAGUUCCGACCUGCACGAAUGGCGUAAUGAUGGCCAGGCUGUCUCCACCCGAGACUCAGUGAAAUUGAACUCGCUGUGAAGAUGCAGUGUACCCGCGGCAAGACGGAAAGACCCCGUGAACCUUUACUAUAGCUUGACACUGAACAUUGAGCCUUGAUGUGUAGGAUAGGUGGGAGGCUUUGAAGUGUGGACGCCAGUCUGCAUGGAGCCGACCUUGAAAUACCACCCUUUAAUGUUUGAUGUUCUAACGUGGACCCGUUACCCGGGUUGCGGACAGUGUCUGGUGGGUAGUUUGACUGGGGCGGUCUCCUCCUAAAGAGUAACGGAGGAGCACGAAGGUUGGCUAAUCCUGGUCGGACAUCAGGAGGUUAGUGCAAUGGCAUAAGCCAGCUUGACUGCGAGCGUGACGGCGCGAGCAGGUGCGAAAGCAGGUCAUAGUGAUCCGGUGGUUCUGAAUGGAAGGGCCAUCGCUCAACGGAUAAAAGGUACUCCGGGGAUAACAGGCUGAUACCGCCCAAGAGUUCAUAUCGACGGCGGUGUUUGGCACCUCGAUGUCGGCUCAUCACAUCCUGGGGCUGAAGUAGGUCCCAAGGGUAUGGCUGUUCGCCAUUUAAAGUGGUACGCGAGCUGGGUUUAGAACGUCGUGAGACAGUUCGGUCCCUAUCUGCCGUGGGCGCUGGAGAACUGAGGGGGGCUGCUCCUAGUACGAGAGGACCGGAGUGGACGCAUCACUGGUGUUCGGGUUGUCAUGCCAAUGGCACUGCCCGGUAGCUAAAUGCGGAAGAGAUAAGUGCUGAAAGCAUCUAAGCACGAAACUUGCCCCGA